GUAAACGUGACCGAGUGGCCGAAGGUGCUCCCCUGCUAAGGGAGUAUGGGGUGUAGAGCCUCAUCGAGGGUUCGAAUCCCUCCGUUUCCGCCA
rnacentral:tRNA from 1 species